rnacentral:lncRNA from 1 species
UGUCUUCCAAAGGGUAGCCAACCUAGACACAGUAGGAAAGUUGCAAGUAAAAUGGGAAGGCCCUUUUCUUGUCACAACUUCAAACAGAUCGGGUUCCUACAGGCUCAAGGACUUGGAAGGAAACGACAUUCCAAGAUCAUGGAAUGCCGACGAACUCUGAAGAUAUUAUGUCUAGUCGUCAAGCUUCGGCACCCUUUUUCCUUACAAAGGGGGUAAGGUUUUUUUAACGGGUCCGAAGAUGUAACAUCUCGCAAGAGUGCCUAAGAAGCUAAUAAAGGUGCUCUAUCCCCCAGACAUGACUACAUAAGAAUAUGGGCUUUAUCUCCAAGGUCUAUACCCCGAAGCUAAAGUUUUAUCACCAAAUAUGUAACACUCCAGGUUCCACAGACAACCCGGAAUGCUACUGUACUACACUUCCGACGUCCAUAUAUAAAAUUUCGGCAGCAUCCCCUUUGCAAGAUAGCAUAAAAGAGGGGGCAACAGAGUAUAAACAUAUAUCAUAACUAAAACAUACUAAGUAUUAUUAAUCGGCUAGCAAGGAAAGAUAAACAUACGACCUGAACUGAAUUAACCAGUGCGCACGACCAUAUAAAAAAAUAAACAAACUUCCUUUGACAAUAAGUUUCUAAUUAAAUCAUGGCUGCGCCUGGGCAGCGUUAUUGUGAGAGUGAAAGUGGACGUGCUGCUACUCCCCUCAUUCCCAACAUGUAUCAAGUACCUGCAUUGAGUAAUGCAAGAGUGAGAUGACACAUCUCAGCAAGUAAAAUAAUAUCAAACAGUUUAACCACAUAAGAACAUUGUUUUACCACCACUUGAUUCCACAACCUUCCUAUUACGAAGGUGCAACACGUAUACAACGUACAACGCACCUAGUUACCACACCUCGCAGGUAGAAACCACAAUAGUAACAUAGUAAUGUCACACUUCAUAUAUUCCUCAUGAGUGCAAAUGUCUGCAAAUGCAAGGAUGACUUCUGCCUUCAUACCUCUAAGGAUAUGAAGCCGCAUCGUACCCCUCCUCGGGCAACGUACGAUGCUAAAAAUGUACCGGUACGGUCGGACCAUAAGAUCACGACAUAACUUCAAAAUGCAAGAUGGAUGAUGCGAUGUGCAUGUCAUGCCUACAACACUUCAUAUAACAUGAUUCAAAAGACACUUCAACUUCAUCCAGAUGGGAAUCAACCACAUAUAUCAUUACCAAAUUAUGAUCAUCCACAAUAUUAGACAAUUGAGAAUUAAUACUUCCAAACAAAUAAACUUCAUCAUAGAAUUCAAUGAUUAACAUAAUUAAAACUUAUGCAUACUCAAUGACAGGGAAUAGGAUGCAAACCAAACGGUAGCAACCACCACUGUAUUUACUUGCCUUUACCGGAAGUUCGGGCAAAUCCCUAAGUACGAUCCGGAAGUCCACCACCUGUUUUUGACACCCAACUUAGUACACCAAUUUCACAUAAUCAGGCUCAUAAGCGACGCCGCACCUACGCACAAACUCAAACCCCGCCGCGGGUUACAUCUCUCCCUACACCCACCAAACUGCAGCGACGCUGCUUAAUAAUUUCAUAACUUUAAAAUUAUGACAGCAGUGGUAACAAACAAAAACUCCAGAGGCAUCUACAUAAAAUUCCCCACAAGUUUUGUAUACAAUUUAUAAUUAAAUUCCAAUAUCUAAUUAGCCCAAAACAGUCCACAAGAUGAACCCUGUAAUCUGUUUUUCUUUGUCUUUUGGACAGCGACAUACCCAGAUUCAAACAGCGAUAUCUUUUAAAAUAUAAUUCCAAAUCAAUCGCAUAAGUACUCAUUGGAAAGAUAAGACAAAUCCCUACAUGAUUAUCAUACUGGUUAACACUAAUUACCCACGAAAAAUUCCCAGAAACUGCUAAUACCACUGCUGUUCACCCACCUGAAAAAUCUGUUUUAUUGGACAGCAACAUAACCGGAUUCAAACAACGAUAUCUCCUGAAUUAUAACUCCGAAUCGAGCGCAUAAGUACUUGUUGGAAAGAUAACAUAAAGCCCUACAUGAUUCUAAUACUGAUUAACACUAAUUACUCCCGAAAAGUUCCCAGAAACUGCUAAUACUGCUGCUGUUCAUCCCCCUGAAAAUCUGUUUUUUUGGACAGCCACAUACCCGGAUUCAAACGGUGAUAACUUUCAAUUUAUAACUCCGAAUGGAGCGCAUAAAUACUCGUUGGAAAGGUAAGGUAAAGUUCUACAUGAUCCCCAAACUGAUUUCCCUUAAUUCCUCACGAAAAAACACAGAAACUGCUAGACUACUGCUGUUCACCCACCACCUAAAAUUCUGGACAACCACAUACCCGGAUUCAAACGGUGAUAACUUUCAAUUUAUAACUCCAAAUUGAGCGCAUAAAUACUCGUUGGAAAGGUAAGGUAAAGUUCUUCAUGAUCCCCAAACUGAUUUCCCUUAAUUCCUCACGAAAAAACACAGAAACUGCUAGACUACUGCUGUUCACCCACCACCUAAAAUUCUGGACAACCCCCUCUACCCAAUCGCAAACGCAACCUCUAAUCAAUUAAAUUGCAGCGCAAAUGAACAAGGAAUGAACACAAAAAUCACCUUGGAUUCUCCCCCUUUCCUUCCUCCCUUCUUCCCUCCACCAAAACGAUUGAAGACUCGCACCACGACGACGAUGAUCCGAGCGGCAAGGAUUGGCACCUUGGGAGGAGGGGAUUGGGGGGGGGGCGGCUAGGGUUUGGUGGCUGCAAAAAUUGAGAGAGGAAGAGAUGGGCAGGGGGCGGCAGCCAAGGGGAGGAGG